CUAUUAUUAAUUAUUACUUAUAGUAUUAUUGAUUAUUCAUUCAUAAUAUUCCCAUCAACUAGAUCUAAACAAAAACAUCCUUACCACAUGAUAACUGGUGCCUCUCAAUCAAGUAGGCCUAAAGCCUAUCAAAGCUUGCAAUACACAUGUGAUCUAGAUCUAGCUGGAUUAUCAACAGUUUCACUACUACAAGAUCUGAUCUAGACUUAGACCUAGAUUCUAGAUAAUAACUAACUUACUAAGUAAUAGUUAAUACUAAUUUUCUUCUCUACAAGUUCUAGUCUAGUUACCACUUUGACAUUCACUUUGGAAACAAGACUCAACUCCCCAGGUUCUUCGGCAUUGAUGCAAUCAACUGAAAUUUUAUGGAAAAGAUCAGGGCAGAAGUUUACACAGAGAUAAACAACCUUGUCUGAUGGAAACACCAGGUUGUUUUUGAGAGUUUUAUUAACAGAUCUGAGCCCAGGUAUUGUCGUAAAACAGAACAAUUCGUCGGCCUUACAGGUUUCGAACUACUUGGUUCUCUCCGCAGCCAUGUUUUAUUCUGAAAUUCCUUAAAUAAGCCAACAUGUGAGAUAAAUGGUUGAAGCAAUGAAAAGAGGGAAAGGAUGGACCCCUGAUGGGUAUGACUUUGUGGACAGCACACAUUUUAUUGAUGCAAACUUUGAUGAUAUAAUGAAAAAUCUGAAACCCUCAGCUAU